rnacentral:rRNA from 1 species
ACGGCAGCACAGGAGAGCUUGCUCUCUGGGUGGCGAGUGGCGGACGGGUGAGGAAUACAUCGGAAUCUACUUUUUCGUGGGGGAUAACGUAGGGAAACUUACGCUAAUACCGCAUACGACCUACGGGUGAAAGCAGGGGAUCUUCGGACCUUGCGCGAUUGAAUGAGCCGAUGUCGGAUUAGCUAGUUGGCGGGGUAAAGGCCCACCAAGGCGACGAUCCGUAGCUGGUCUGAGAGGAUGAUCAGCCACACUGGAACUGAGACACGGUCCAGACUCCUACGGGAGGCAGCAGUGGGGAAUAUUGGACAAUGGGCGCAAGCCUGAUCCAGCCAUACCGCGUGGGUGAAGAAGGCCUUCGGGUUGUAAAGCCCUUUUGUUGGGAAAGAAAUCCAGCUGGCUAAUACCCGGUUGGGAUGACGGUACCCAAAGAAUAAGCACCGGCUAACUUCGUGCCAGCAGCCGCGGUAAUACGAAGGGUGCAAGCGUUACUCGGAAUUACUGGGCGUAAAGCGUGCGUAGGUGGUCGUUUAAGUCCGUUGUGAAAGCCCUGGGCUCAACCUGGGAACUGCAGUGGAUACUGGGCGACUAGAGUGUGGUAGAGGGUAGCGGAAUUCCUGGUGUAGCAGUGAAAUGCGUAGAGAUCAGGAGGAACAUCCAUGGCGAAGGCAGCUACCUGGACCAACACUGACACUGAGGCACGAAAGCGUG